AUACCUACGGGGGGCAGCAGUGGGGAAUAUUGCGCAAUGGGGGAAACCCUGACGCAGCAACGCCGCGUGCGGGAUGAAGGCUUGCGGGUUGUAAACCGCUUUCAGCAGGGAAGAUAAUGACGGUACCUGCAGAAGAAGCCCCGGCUAACUACGUGCCAGCAGCCGCGGUAAUACGUAGGGGGCAAGCGUUAUCCGGAUUCAUUGGGCGUAAAGCGCGCGCAGGCGGGCCGCUAAGGGGGACCUCUAAUCUUGGGGGUCAACCUCAAGCCGGGGCCCAAAA
rnacentral:rRNA from 1 species